AGGGUUAACUGUACUAUCUAUAUUAAUUUUGACAGGGUUUACCAUAAAUAAAUUUGAUUGUAUUAUGUUUGCGGCCUAAUAAAAAAAAAAAAAAAAAAGACACAGCAAAACUUUAUGGUUUUAUUACUCUACAUUUCAAAGACAGAUAAAGACAAUAAAUUGUUAAAUGUAAUCAUCUGCAAUCUGUUAAAUUCAUGUAUAUUUGGAACGAUUGUAGAAG